AGGUCAAAACAGAGAAUACAGACCGCAGACAGUAUCAAAUGAAAGAUACAUCUAUACACACAAUGUCCGCUCUCCCUACAGGAGACUCUGGUUACCAACUAGACGAUGGAGAAGGCCGUGUCCCGAAGAUGCAUCCCAAAUAGUGGGUAAUGACUUCCAAACAGUGGGUAGUGGGUUUCUAAUGUAUGUGUUGACCUAGAGGUAGAGACUCUUAACUAAAUUGACUGAAGAAAACCCGUAUGUCUAUGCUUGUGUACAUAAUAUAUAACUAAUGAAUCAAACGACCUUUGGAUGGACAUCCGAUCCCACCAGACCACAUCUCAACGAAGAAAAGGAAAUAGGGCUGACAAGCCUUCCUAAGUCCUUCAAUCAUUAUUUAUAUGCAUCUAUACAAGCACAGACAUACAUCUAACUACGCUUGAGUAUGUAUCAAGUGGAAUCAUAUCGUGAAGUAAAAGUGUACAGUGUGGAAUAACCGACUUGUGAAGUAUAAGUGUAUAGUGAAAUAUCCGAGUCGUGAAGUAUAAGCGUACAGUAGAACAUCCGAGUCGUGAAGUAUAAGCGUAUAGUGGAACAUCCGAGUCGUGAAGUAUAAGCGUACAGUGGAACAUCCGAGUCGUGAAGUAUAAGCGUACAGAGUGGGAUAAUCGAAUCGUGAAGUAUAAGUGUACCAAGUGUAAGUGUAUCACGAAGUGGAGACGACGAUAAGUGAAGUAAGAGCGUCUAUCAAGUAUAAGAGGCUACAAGUAUAAGCGAUAUAGAGACAAAAAUCCGGUAUAAGCGUAUCAUGAAGGAAAUGCGUUAUCAAGUAGGAGUUUUAAAUAAGUAAAAGCGAAGCAACAGUAACAAACAAGUAAAAGUAUACGUUGUAAAAGUGAACCUUGAUUAAAAUCUUGUAAAACCUUUAUAAACCAGUUUAAAGUGAGUUUUAAAUCAAGCAGUAUAAAUAACAGUUUUGAAACAAACGAAAAACCUUUUUGAAAACCAUUAUAGUGUCCUACUCGGUAAAACAGUGUACAGUGUGGUAAAAUCUUGAGCAUGCGGGUUAUCAAUCACAUGUGAUUGAUAUGAUAACUGGCAUGUUUAACUUGUAUUCCCCCCUAUAAAACAUGUAAAAACAUUUAAAAGGUUCAUUCAGGGGUAUGAACUCACGUGGUGUAAGUAGGUCCGACGAAGGUGUCGUUUGGACAUUCGGUGUCACGCAAGGACUUGAACACACACAAUGACCUAUUUAACAUAUGAUAACAUAUUUUCACAUACAAUUAGUAUAUUUAAUACUAAUUAAACAAAUAUACGCGCUCACAAGAGCGGAAAACACUUUGGAUAAGUGUUUGGGUGUCCCCAGGUAGCGUCUAAAGGUGUGUAUGGCUAAGGAAUGGAGUUUACUCUCCAAGAGUAAACCCCUAACACCAUGUUUACAGCCCAGGGACUACUCACCAUGAGUUUACGGCCGUAAACUCAUGGUGAUGGGUUCUAGGGUGUUUUAAGGCUUCUACUUGCUCAUGGAAUUAUUCUAAGUGCAAAACCAUAAAGUGUGAAUGAGUUUAAUGCAUGCAAUGGCCCCUUUGAGGAGUUUAUGGCCAUAAGCAAGGGAGCUUACGACCAUAAGCUCCUAUAUCCUCUUUCUUUUGGUGUUUUAAGGGCUUAAGUGGUAGUGGGUAAAUUCCUAAGCAUUUUUCCAAGUUAAAUGGGGAGUUUAGGGCACCAAAUAAACCCUUUGUGGGAGGUUACGGCCCAGGUACCCUUCCAUGAGGGGUUUACGGCCGUAAACUCCUUAUGGAGUUGUUUUAAUUGCAUUUAAGGUCCCUAGCUUGUUGUUGGUCAAUUCUAGAAUUUAAUCUAAGGCCAUUGGUGUGUUUAAGGGCAUUUUUAACACACAAAAAUCAGUUUGCUCCCCAUGAAGAGGAGUUUACGGCCCAAUCAUGUUCUUGGGUAGUAAAAUCUUGUUUACUCUUCCAAAUGCUAGUUCAAGGUGUUCUAAACCCGAUUCCAUAAUCCUACAAGUCAUAUCUAAGCCUUAGGGACAAUUUGGAGGGGUGUUGGGGCUUAAAAACCCCAUUAAUUGGUGUUCACGGCCCAAGAGUGUUCUUGGGCUGUAAACUCAUGAUUAUGUCCCUAUCGUAUGUUUUAAACUCAAAUUUGUACGCUAGAUAAGUUAUACAACGAGUUAGGAUAGUUUACCUACUCGUUUGGGGCUCGAAACGGACGAUUUUUUGCUCGAAUUUAAGUUGUAGAGAGAGAGAGAGGGGAGAGUGUAAAAAGUCUCCAAUGGACUCCACUCACCCUUAUAUAGGGGUUGGAGUUGGGGCUCAGUGGGAUUCUACCCGAUACUGUCGUUAUACGGGGCUUUUGGUCGCACCCGAUUUAGUGGUCGUAAUAAUAAAAACUAACUUUUUCUAAAUUACUUUGGAAAUGUAAUUUAAGUGUUUUCAUUUACCUUAUUACGACUAUAACGACAUAAAAACAUAAAUAAAUAAAACAUUUAUUUAUUUAACGACCUCUUAUUAACGGAACCUUUAUACAGUGGAAUAUUCCGUUAACGGUAACGGGGUAAUGUAACGGAAUAAACUUUGGGUUGUCACAUCAUCCCCCCGUUAGAGGGAAUUUCGUCCCGAAAUUCAGGUCCAGGCAAGGAAGUAGGUAUGAAUGGCCAAGUAGAGGUAAGAGAGUACUUCCUAUACGGUUGUCCUCGCAUUCUCAAGUGAACUCUAGUCUAUGUUUGUCAUUUCGACAAACCUUCACGUACGGGAUGCGGAUUCCGUCUCGUGUAGCUAGUGGGUUCCAACUGGUGUAUCUACAGGGUUAGAGUUCUCAAUGGAUUCUAUCAAGAUGAGUGAGGCACGAAGAGUGUUGUCGGGAAAUCACAUAUGAAGUCUAAGAAGUGGAUCGACCGGGUGUGAAUCUUGUGGUAUAUCCGAAGGUAGUAGCGGCCUGAAUAGGGUUGGACCAAAUCUCCAUGAGAAUUCUCAUAUGGUCCUAAGCUCUCGGAAUGGUAGAGCUUUUCAGUACUCAGAACAUAGUGUACUUCUAUGGCAAGAUCAUCACUGGCGUGAUCGCCAUUCCGAAGUUCCUAACGUUCUCACUCGUACUGUGUGUGUAGUCCUUCAGGUUGGUUCUUAGGAAUCUCGAGUGGUCUUUGGUUUCGUGUUUUCUGUCAACUGGCUGAUAGAGACUUUCUAGAUCGUCGAGUGGGUUGCGUGACUAUGGUUAUCGGUUUGCUGUAGAGUGUCUAUCUCAAGCUUGUGCAACAUGGACCUGCACUAACGAACCUUGAGAUACGGAAACCCUGAGGGUCGGGGAGAUAGGGUUUCACCAGACGAGUGUUGGACUAUCUCGGGAGGUGGUUCUAUUAUCUAUGCGUGAGAUAGUAUUCGUGGAACACCUAAUAGUCCAAUGAAUCUCUAAGAUUGUGGUUUAUUCUAGCGUGGAAAGUGUAUGCUCCUGCAUAACCCCUCGACUAAUGCCAAGGCUGGUGUCGAGUCUAUAAUCUCUUCAGGAUCAGGUUCACGAGGCUUAACGCAACUACGUUCUCACUUUACCAAGUAUUCUUGGCUGCGAAGGUUAUCUUGUGAUUCUCGAUAUCCUAGUGUUCACUUCGGAAUGUGUAAUUCAGCGUCUAUCGGGCGACGACGAUUUUCCUCCUUGCCAGAGGGCACCCCUUGUCUAUAACUGGGUGGACGAGGUGCCUGAGUAGUGCAAGCAUCUACUGCAACUACUCUUCCGAAGGUUCCGAGUUCUCUCGGUCUAAGUCAAAUUUAGUGGGUAUAGGGUCUCAUCACUCGGAACUUUACUAGCUCAAUCCGCAGUAGUUCUCUUGAUUUCGGCUCCUAUGUUAUCGAAUAGGGUGAAAGUGUUUUGCGAAGAGGUUCGUGGUAGAGCUCAUGCUUGGCUUAACCGCCAAUACUUGAUGGAUGCCAGCAGUAUACCUGGUUAUAGUGGUCAGCCUCAUGAGUUCUAUUCUCUGGGUUCACGAACCUGAUGUGCGAGGUGCGAAGGGUCUCCCGGGGGAAUCUACGGAGUAUGCUUCGGUUGGUGGUCGUCUUCUUGGAGUAUCUGCAGUGUCGUUCACUUCGGUGUCCAUCUGACUACGAGGGGUCGGUCAACGGCGCGCGGUACCCUCUCUUGGGUACUUCGGAAGGUUUGAGAUAAGAGGGACGAUUGACGGAUCGCAUUAGGUUUGAUUAUUUGUGUUAGGUUUAGGUUCGGAAGAACCUUUAUUUGCCGACAUGGCUAUGGAGAAAGUUCUUUUUACACAGCACUAAGAAUGUACACAUGGUUGCACGAAGUCAAACCAUGAUCAAUAGAGUCGUCGAAGUUGGCACACUCCGACAUGAUAUAAAGUGAAGAUCGAUAGAGUCAUGUGCCGAACAGGCACACAAGUUCUAGGCGUCUCGGGUUUCGUCCUAUGUAUCACUACCGCGGAUACUUGGACCGAUAGAGUCGACGCGGAACUAUAGAGAGUCCUAAGUGUUUCCGAAUAGAGUACCUUUUCAUGAAUGGAUUCUCACGAGGCAUUUCUAUAAUCGCCUCACAUAUACUAGUCAUGUAUAUUUAAGGUGGGGAGGACUGUUGACUGAGCGACCCCGCCCUAAAUCCACAACCAAACGAGGAACAGGAAAUGAGGCGGCAUUCGCUCACUCUAGGUCUGUCCAUCUUAAAUAUACAUGGCCGUAACGUAUAUGUUUAGCCAUUAUAGUUUUACCUAAUGAAUUUUAAAUUUUAUAACAGUGCUGCGACUUUCGCCUUACUGGGAAGAAUUUACAUUUGAAUUAGUCUUUUAUUGUUCUUAGUUUAGUUAUCCGAGAUCGAGAGACGUACCAAAAUCUAACGAGUUCCUUGCCGCUUCUCCCUAAGCAGUAGUGUCAGGCUCCUUCUGUGUCUUUGUCUUUCCCUUCGGUUGGGCAGUCCUUCUUGAAGUGUCCCAUUUUACCACAUAGGUGGCAAACUGUACGGGUCGCCACAUUGGUGGUUGAUGUAAUGAACUCAACCGGGGUUCUGCAGACGCGAGCAGUAUGCCCCAACAUGUGGCACCUAGCACAAUAGAGCUCCCGGCAGACACCAUGAUGAUGGUAGCUGCACUUGCUGCAGUGGGGAAGGUCUCCUAGGUAUGGUCUUCUUGGAGUCGGGAGGGAAGGAUUGACAGGGGUAUAGACUGCCUCAGCUCGUUGCCCUUCGGAAGGUCCUUGAGCCGAGGUACUUCCCUCCUCAAUCUUGAGUUUUCUCUUUAGUGGGUUCGGUGAAGGUUCUUGGGUGACUGGGUAUGAAAGUGUUGGUUGCUGCUGUCCAUCGUCAGGAUUGGAAAUCCCGACAGGGCCCUUGCUAACAUUGACGGUGUUAGCAUUCAGGUGAGCCAUGACAGCUGCUACGGCUGCUGAGACUGCAGCUUGGGACGGAGCUUCAUCGAAUAAGAGGGCAGGUUUCUUGCUUGCGGAUUGGUUACGCUUCUUUGGUGGCAUGGUUUUUCCUACACGGAAAGGAAUACAAGGUAAUGAGAGACGAUGGUUAACCCUGGACAUUUCUGUCCUGAACGUAUUAGGCAUAAAUUUUUCCCGUGCCUUGGGUACUGGUCGUCUGAGUGUCGACCUACAUCCCUAUGAUGUAGUCCUGGUAAUCGAAGUGGGUGUAUGAGUAUCGGAAAAAGGCCAUAAGAUGCGAGUCGUUCCUACUAAGUUACCUUUAUACUGGGAAAGGUUUCACUCUCCGGCUUGGAGAGAUUUGAGAAUGGUUCGGAACAAAACUGCGGAAAGAGAGGCUCACAAGGGCAAAUAGCUAAAAUUCUCUCAAAUAGAGAUGCAGGGAUCUGCCCUAAUCGUGUAUCUGGCAACAGGAAACGACGAUUUACCUAACACAUAGCGUGAGUAGUGUAACCACUAACUCACUAAAUUGUGUUAUUUUAUGGGUGUAUUAGCGUGACGAAUCACGAGGGGAAGACAAUUCCCGGGUUCCAUGUACUGGCUCCCUCGGUCUGCCUCGUAUCUUUGACUGGAAUCGGCGUUGGUUUCCUUCGGGUAGUUUCCUAGGGUUCUCUUCUCGUAUGGACAUAUUGAAUUUCUACUCCGCCUUCCUUCUGAUUCCAACUCUGGGUGUCAUCACUUCAUGAUGGAUGACUGGGAAUCUCCGAAGUUUAGGCGAAUCUCUCACCACUGUCCCUAAAAGAAUAUGGGCACUUGGUGCAUUCAAUAGUCUCGACCCAGUUCAUUUAUUUCCGAACAGGAAAUCUUCUCAAUGAACCUCCUCGGGGUCGGAAUCAACUCUUCUGUCAAGCACUGAAGUGGAUAGGGUUUUCUACAGGGUUCGUGCGAGAAUGGAAAUGUCUAAAGAAUCCUAAGAGAUUAUUAACAUUUCACUGGAUGAUCCAUAUCGAGUCCUGCUACGAUUACACAGGGUAUACAAAUCAUAUAUAACUUAGAUCCGAUAGGCCUUCGAAUAUGUGAUACUACUCUAGAACCACAUCCCAAUGAGGAAAAGGAAAUAGAGCGAAACCACACAUUCUUAGCCUAUGGGAUCCUUAUUAUAUAUAACCUUGGGAGUAUACCCUCUGUAGUUGUAGGUAUAUCAAUAAGGAUCUUUUUAGUUAUUCACGCAAGGUUGUUUAUGGAUUCUAAAAUACCCCUAUGGUAUUUUAAUUCUUGUUUGAUUCUUAUCUUCUGAGUUUCAUUCUGGGAUUAGUGUGGAUCUUUUAGUGUUCUAAAAUACUCCUAUAGUAUUUUAACUUUAUGUUUGGCUCUAGCAUUCCUAGUUGGUAAGUUUCAGACCUGUUGUACACCACUAUCACUCCCAAGCACAUGUUCAUCGCAUCUCGGAUAAAUGUAGUUGAUCAGGUUACAUUUAUCCCAGCUUACGAUUACAUAACUGCCCAGGUUUGACGGUAAUGCUCAACAUCCGAAGACUUUUAUUAUUGUUCUUCUUGUGAUACUUGUGUUCGAGUGUUUAGAUUCUGGAUGUUGUUAUACUUUGGUAAAAUACGGUUAUAUUUUAAAGUAUAACUCUCGGUCAGAGUGUUUUAUCCCUAUGUAUUUAUAGGCUGUAUAUCUUUUAUAAAUUGAUAUACUAAGCUCACUAUAAACAAUGCUCUGAUACCAAUCUGUCACACCCCAAAACCGGAACGGCGGAAACGUUCUGGGGUGGAUGACGUCAUGUCAAGUAUCACAACACAUGCAUUAUAGUAAUCAAAGUAAAACAAAACAUUGCAUUAAUAGUAAUAGUUCUACAUGGUUACAUUACAAAACACCAAAGUAAUACAAGAAAUAUAGACAUAUAUAUGUAAGUACAGCGAGGCAUUAAGCCAUCUUCAUCAACUGCUCUAGGGAUGUACCUGUCUAAUGCUAACCUGAGAAUACAAGUUAUUUGAAAAGUGAGUAUCAGCAUUUUUACAAUGCUGGUGAGUUCAUAAGUAUUUAGUGACAUUUUAUUCAAAUAACCUUAUAAUGAAGUAGUUUAAAAGAUUUCAGUGUAUUAGAGUUCUUUCCAGAAAAUCCUAUAUUUUCUUUAAAUAAAGCAGCCUUCUACCAAGACUGGUCAGUGUUAUGUGGUAAAAAGUAGUUUUCCCUUAAUUGCUAUCAUUAUCAAAAUACUGAAUUUGANUAUUAAAGAAAACGACGACAUCAGGGAAUAACAUACGCCUCAGCAGUGAGGACUGCUGACUAAGGCAAGGAAUCAUAGACCCUAGGAGGGUAUCGAACGAACGACAUGCCUGGUUCAGUCUAACUAAAGAAGACACAGGCCCCAGGAGGUACCAAAUGAAAGGUACAACUGGUAAGGUCUAAAACAGUGAUUACAGACCGCAGAUAUUAUCAAAUGAAAGAUACAUCUUGCAAGGUCAAAACAGAGAAUACAGACCGCAGACAGUAUCAAAUGAAAGAUACAUCUUGCAAGGUCAAAACAGAGAAUACAGACCGCAGACAGUAUCAAAUGAAAGAUACAUCUUGCAAGGUCAAAACAGUGUGACUCUGAAAAUGAGUUACCAGCAUACAGUGUAAAUUGCCGGUGAAUACUGUUACCUUAAGGCCAUGAAUUAUAAGGUAACCCGGGAUACUCGUAACCAUACUAACCGACACUAGAGUACUAGACGCCCUUCAAGCGUCUAUAUAAUGUGACAUUUGUCACCCCUUGGCUUGGUGAGCCAUGGACUGUAGCUAGCAGUCAGGGUGCGGGGGUGUCAAUCCCGUAUAGAUCUAUACACACAAUGUCCGCUCUCCCUACAGGAGACUCUGGUUACCAACUAGACGACGGAGAAGGCC
rnacentral:lncRNA from 1 species